UAUUGCACAAUGGGCGGAAGCCUGAUGCAGCGACGCCGCGUGAGGGAUGACGGCCUUCGGGUUGUAAACCUCUUUCAGUAGGGAAGAAGCGAGAGUGACGGUACCUGCAGAAGAAGCGCCGGCUAACUACGUGCCAGCAGCCGCGGUAAUACGUAGGGCGCAAGCGUUGUCCGGAAUUAUUGGGCGUAAAGAGCUCGUAGGCGGUUUGUCGCGUCUGCUGUGAAAGCCCGGGGCUCAACCCCGGGUCUGCAGUGGGUACGGGCAGACUAGAGUGCAGUAGGGGAGACUGGAAUUCCUGGUGUAGCGGUGAAAUGCGCAGAUAUCAGGAGGAACACCGAUGGCGAAGGCAGGUCUCUGGGCUGUUACUGACGCUGAGGAGCGAAAGCAUGGGGAGCGAACAGG
rnacentral:rRNA from 1 species